GAUUUUAUACUUCCAAGAGCGGGCACAUGGCUCUAUACUUCAAUGCGAAGGCACAUGGCUCUCUACUUCCAUGAGAGAGCACAUGGAUCUACACUAUCUACAGUGGGUAGUGCUCGGUGUCUUGGGGGGAGUCACCGUGAUUAUAGUAAUGGGUUUAAAGACCAUGUCCCGAAUGAAGAUUAGGUUAACUCUGGUGAAUUUUCGUUUGGAUAUUUUUUCUGAAUGUCUCCCUAGAACAAAGGACUCCAGCCAUUUUCCUCUGAUUGGAGACCCCUGCCCUAGAAUACAUCACAAUUCUGGUGAUAUCACAGUAACAUUGUUCCUAAAUUGACAAGGACAAAGCCAAAGAUCGGAGGAUGAUGUAAUAGUCCCUGCCGUUCUCCAGUGGUGUGUUCAAGAACCCUUGGUAAAAACGUCCAUCCCCUACAGUAAAUGACAUCUCUGUGCCAAUGUUUUUCAUG